rnacentral:rRNA from 1 species
UUCUUGGAGAGUUUGAUCCUGGCUCAGGACGAACGCUGGCGGCGUGCCUAAUACAUGCAAGUCGAGCGAAACAACAGGAGCUUGCUCCUGUUGUUUAGCGGCGGACGGGUGAGUAA